rnacentral:rRNA from 1 species
GAUGAACGCUAGCGGCAGGCUUAACACAUGCAAGUCGAGGGGCAUCACAUGAAGUAGCAAUACGGAUGGUGGCGACCGGCGCACGGGUGAGUAACACGUAUGCAACCUGCCUUCAACAAGGGGAUAACCCGUUGAAAGACGGACUAAUACCCUAUAACACAGGGGUCCCGCAUGGGAAUAUUUGUUAAAGGACAACCGGUUGAAGAUGGGCAUGCGUUCCAUUAGCUAGUUGGCGGGGUAACGGCCCACCAAGGCAACGAUGGAUAGGGGAACUGAGAGGUUUAUCCCCCACACUGGUACUGAGACACGGACCAGACUCCUACGGGAGGCAGCAGUGAGGAAUAUUGGUCAAUGGACGCAAGUCUGAACCAGCCACGUCGCGUGAAGGAAGACGGCCCUACGGGUUGUAAACUUCUUUUAUACGGGAAUAAAGUGCCCCACGCGUGGGGUUUUGCAUGUACCGUAUGAAUAAGGAUCGGCUAACUCCGUG